rnacentral:rRNA from 1 species
UACGUAGGGCGCAAGCGUUGUCCGGAAUUAUUGGGCGUAAAGAGCUCGUAGGCGGUUUGUCGCGUCUGCUGUGAAAUCCCGAGGCUCAACCUCGGGCUUGCAGUGGGUACGGGCAGACUAGAGUGCGGUAGGGGAGACUGGAAUUCCUGGUGUAGCGGUGGAAUGCGCAGAUAUCAGGAGGAACACCGAUGGCGAAGGCAGGUCUCUGGGCCGCAACUGACGCUGAGGCGCGAAAGCUAGGGGAGCAAACAGG